GGACCCCAAUUCCGCCUCGCGCCUCUUUAUCCUUUCCCAGUCUUGGCCGCGGCCAAUCAGCCGCUGUAACCAACGCUUCCUCGUGCCAAGCCCCUCCCCCGGGCUUCCCAUUGGCUUGGAACCCGAUGCAAUAAUAAUCUCCGCGUGCAAUGAGAAGCUCCAAAUCUGACCUCAUUCCAAUUUACAGAGCAAACUUUUUAAAAGGGCUAGAAGUACAGCUGAGAUUUCUGCUGCCUCUUUUUUCCUUUUGCUGUGCGUGCCUGCGUGUGUGUGUGUGUGUGGUGUGUGAAGAGGAUGUUAAUGCAUGAAAUUAUUAAGGGGAGAGACGGAAAUGUAUUCUAACCAUUAUGUUAGAUAACAAGGGGCUUAGAAGGGGGGGAAGGGUGAAAUACUGUAAAUGGAAGCUUUCUGCUUAAAAGCCAAGUGAUUAUUUUUAUUAGUUCUUUUCAGUAUUGGAGUAGAGAAUCAGCCUUUAGUGCAAAAUCUGUUCCUCGGCUCCUUCAUAAAGCCAAGGAUGUAAAAGAGGGAGGGAAAGCUAUGAAAAUAAAUCAAUAGAUAUUGAAAACCAUUAAGAAAGUGGCACCUAGACACCUGUCAUCACUAUUAUUUUAACAAUUCCAGGUACAGCACAGAUGUUGAUGUAGUGUGUUAAUUCCUUCAGAGCUGUUUGGGUGCUGUUUGUUGGAAGGCAGAAAAGAGGAUUUUGGGGGGCAAUAAUUACUUGCUCUCUUAACCAAACAGGGGUUGACUAUAGUUAUUGAAUGAUUUGAACUCCCCUUUGAAUUCUGGAUGGGCUUCCCUAGUGGCGCAGUGUGGUAAAGAAUUUGCCUGAGAAUGUAGGAGACAGGGGAGACUGGGUUCCAUCCCUGGGGCAGGAAGAUCGCCUUGGAGGAGGAAAUGGCAAUCCACUCCAGUAUUCUUGCCUGGAAAAAUCCCAUGGACAGAGGAGCCUCAUGGGUUACAAGCUACAGGGUUGCAAAGAGCUAGACACGGCUGAGCACACAGCACAGCACACACGGUCAUAAAUCCUGGGUAGCCCAAACAGAGGAGCUUUCCACUGAAACACAAUAGGCAGUGUUCCAUAGUUAAUAGGAGAAUUUCUGUAGUUUUGUGUAAGAUGAUAAUGGUGAGUAAAGGAUGGGAAUCAGUUUUACUUUUUAAGUAUUAGUUUUCCACAUUUUCAAAAUUAAAGAUAGCUUCACGCUUCAUCCUCUCUUCCCCAAACCCUCCUCCUCCUUUCCUUUAUAUUUUCUCCUAUAUGUUCGUUACUUCAAUCAAAUGGAAUUAAAAGGCCAAAGCAAAGAGACACUGUAAAAGGCAGUGAUAACUAGUAGCAAAAAAGAAUGGAACCUCUGAAUUUAUAUUAGACCUUGCUGCUAGUCUUUCUUACUAGUCUUGUGACCCUGGGGAUGUGACCAAGUCUCAGUUUUCCUCAUCAGUGAUAUGGGAACACUAGGAACUACUUUAUAUAGUGUUUUGUGGGAGUUCAGUGAGCUUGAUGUAUAGUAAGCCCUCAGUGAAUACUAUAUUAUCCUUCAUGAUAAUUCAGAUUCCAGAGACAUUCCCUCUAGUAAAAGCAGCAUGUUGUUCGACUAAAAUCGAGGGAGGUCACUGAUGUGAAAAAAUCAUCACAGAUCAUGGAUGUGAACCAUCCAAGGACCACACUGGCAACCCAGUCAUCCUGAUGAUUUGAAAAGAAGCCUCAUGAAGAGCAUUGUGAAGAAUGUGGCAAAAAAAAGUUCCCAGGUAGUCAAAAUACAUGUUAAUUUGGCCACAGACAUCUCUUUUGUUCUAAGACAUACUAUGGUCACAUGCUAUUAAGGGAGAAGAACUGCCAGUGAAACUGACAUCCCCAUGGUUGUAAGACAUCUGAAAAGAAAAAAGUUCCUCUUAGAAUUGAAGAAAUAUGGUAUUAGUAAUUUCCAUUGACAUAAAAGAUUGUUAUAAUAUAUAUGAAUGCUUAGACUUCUGAAGUAGAUUUGUUUUUAUGUGUUAGUAGCCCUCUUAAAAUGUAAGAAAACAUGUGACAAGUGGCCUUUUAUUAAAGACAUCUUUCUCACCAACUGGAUACUUGCACACUGAAAUGUAUGAGGUCUCAAUAGCAAAUAAUGAGAAAAGAUUUCUGUGUUCUCAUUACCUAACUUCACAUGCUUUGUAACCAGUUUUUCCAUUACUAACAUUUUUUUUCCCAAAUACCAGAUAUUUGGUGGCCCCUACUAAAUCAGUACUCAGUGUUCCCUCUGCUGGCUUUGUAGUACAUGAAGUGAUUCUUAAUGCUACUCUCUAAGCCAUAUUAACAGUAAGCCAAGAUAAUUUUGCAAAAAAAAAAAAAAAAAAAUCCUGUUUCAAAAUAAUAGAUGAAAUUUAUUUAUUAGCAAAGAUGAUAGACAUUCCAAAUUUUGAAUUAAGGUAACUAUUUCCUCUUAAUUAUUUUCCAUUAAAUAAUGGAACUCGAUUUGAGAUGUAAUAUUUGCUAAUUCAUUUCUUCUGCUCUCACACACCUGCACAACAUAAAAAUCCUGCAUCCAUAAAAUGGUAUGGGGUAUAGAUGGAAAUAGCAUUGUCCCACUGCUUAAUAUAUGCCUAUAGCAUAGAGGGAGGGAAAAAAAAAAAAACCUGAGGGGAAAUUAGUUUAACAAAUCUCUUGGAUUCACAGUGAUUUGCAAGGUUUUUCCUUGUCUUGGUUAUAGAAACUGUGAUUGUAAGAGCUGGUCUGACCUGACAACUAUUCAGUUCAAAGAAAAUAAAGAGGGGAAAAAUCCUGUCUUUGUUACUUUAGCAGACAGGGAAGAAGCCUGAGAAAUUUGAUGUCAUUGGCCUUUGCCAACUGAAAGGCCCCAGGCUUUUUGGUUCCACACUUUAUGGAAAAUAACCUUCCAUCAGAAGCUGAUUUACUUCUCAGUCAAGUAGACAAAUAUAACUUGCACUUCAUUUUGGGGGGGCUGAUGAAAUUGCAUUGGAACUGGACUUCUCCGGAGGGGUGGGGGUUGUGUGGAAAAACAAUGUAUGGAAGUAAUCUUUAUUUGCAAAAUACUAAAAUAGGAUCUUAGGUAAAAUGAAGUCCACGUUUAUUAUUAUUAUUAUGUUUACUCUUAGGAAAAAUUAAGAGAUAAGAAUCCUGCAUUUCUAAUUAAAUUUUUGCCAUUUUCUCUCCCCUCCUAACCAGUGGCUGGCACCUGGUAGGUUUCUGUAUGCAUUUCAUACCAGCGCCAACUCAUUUUUCCUCUCCUUUCAAUUUUCUCAUGAGAACAAGCAGGAAAUGAGUGUUUGCACCAGGCCACGUAAAUUUGAAGCAGGAACACGAGCUUCUGCUCCAUUUCGCUAAGCCGAAGCAAGUCACACCCACCCCGAACCCGGGUUUACUCGUCCAUCAGCCGACUCCCAGUGCAGGGAGAGGCGGCCGCCAGGUGGCAGCGCUGAGCCUCCCUGCGCCCACGAGGAGACGUGGGAAAACGUGGGGAUGGUCGGACUUCUUUCUCCCCGCUUCCUCCUCUCCUGAACCCGUAGCAUCCUCCACUACCUUCUUUCGGUAGCAGUUUAAACGAUCAGCGGUUAAUAGGGUGUGUCGAUGAAUUCUGAUGAUUUUUUUUUUAAUCAUAAAUCAGAGUUUAGGGCAACGAACCGCCGCCUCCCGUUCACUUGUCAGAAGCUCCCAGAGACUUGGGGACGCCAGGACUCCCGUUUGGAACUAGUCACUGAACCGGGAGCUCAUCAAUGGCCGGGUCCGUAUCUUGCCGAAGCCGGAACGAAUUAGAAGGCUCCCUCGGAGAGCCGCUGCAGAGGAGGCGCGCCCAACUCGAGGACUAGCAGAGGCACCCCUCCUCCUCAAAAGAUGGUUUCCCUCUGCCGGGCGCCGCGACUCGGUGGCGCGGGCACCGCGUUCUCCCUGCCCUGAGCGCGCCGAGGGGUCGGCGGGGAUCGGCGGCUGAGCCUCGUCUUUCGGUUACUGGUACAGGGAGGAAAUACACUGGAAUCGAC